GACAUUGAUGAAAUCGCCUAAUGUUUGGAGGCUGCAAUCCGCCCCAAGUUUCUGAUUGUCAGGAAGAACCUACUUGGGGCUGGUGCACUCGCAUGACAACACUGGGCAAUCCUAAGGU
rfam:Setaria italica strain Yugu1 chromosome IX, whole genome shotgun sequence.